rnacentral:lncRNA from 1 species
GUCAGUAGUCGCGGGGCAGGUACGCGCUCUCUUAGGUUGCUGGUGGAGCUUGGGGGUGGCGGGAGCGGGUUCCGGCGAGAGGGUGAGCGAGCGCUGGGGCGGGGCGGGAGAAAGUGGCUGCCCGAGGACCUCGGCGGUGACGCGUGGCCGAGCCCAGGAGCCCCGAUCUCCGUGCCCGCCUUCGUGAGCGUCUGGCUGCCGGCCCAGGGGUCCCCCGCCGCGGCCCCCCGCCGAGUCCGCCGUCCCGUGCCAGCCCGAGCGAGGUGGGAUCGCGAUCGCUCCGUGUCCCGCUCCCGUAAUCCCCAGACCGUCCAUGCCCACGCGGGUGCUGACCAUGAGCGCCCGCCUGGGACCACUGCCCCAGCCGCCGGCCGCGCAGGACGAGCCCGUGUUCGCGCAGCUCAAGCCGGUGCUGGGCGCUGCGAACCCGGCCCGCGACGCGGCGCUCUUCUCCGGAGACGAUCUGAAACACGCGCACCACCACCCGCCUGCGCCGCCGCCAGCCGCUGGCCCGCGACUGCCCUCGGAGGAGCUGGUCCAGACAAGAUGUGAAAUGGAGAAGUAUCUGACCCCUCAGCUCCCUCCAGUUCCGAUAAUUUCAGAGCAUAAAAAGUAUAGACGAGACAGUGCCUCAGUGGUAGACCAGUUCUUCACUGACACUGAAGGCAUACCUUACAGCAUCAACAUGAACGUCUUCCUCCCUGACAUCACUCACCUGAGAACUGGCCUCUACAAAUCCCAGAGACCAUGCGUAACACAGAUCAAGACAGAACCUGUUACCAUUUUCAGCCACCAGAAAACAAGAACUUCCUAUACCAGAUCUUCAUCUCUCUGUCCCUUCCCAGCAGGGCCACCUGUACCAGCUGUUGAAUACACCGGAUCUAGACAUGCCCAGUUCGACAAACCAGACGGCAGUAAUGGACACCCUUAAUGUUUCUAUGGCAGGCCUUAACCCACACCCCUCUGCUGUUCCACAGACGUCAAUGAAACAGUUCCAGGGCAUGCCCCCUUGCACGUACACCAUGCCAAGUCAGUUUCUUCCACAGCAGGCCACCUACUUUCCCCCGUCACCACCAAGCUCAGAGCCUGGAAGUCCCGAUAGACAAGCUGAGAUGCUGCAGAAUCUCACCCCACCUCCGUCCUAUGCCGCUACAAUUGCUUCCAAACUGGCGAUUCACAACCCAAAUUUACCUGCCACUCUGCCAGUUAAUUCGCCAACUCUCCCACCUGUCAGAUACAACAGAAGGAGUAACCCGGAUCUGGAGAAGCGACGUAUCCACUUCUGCGAUUAUAAUGGUUGCACAAAAGUUUAUACAAAGUCGUCUCACUUAAAAGCUCACCUGAGGACUCAUACGGGUAGGUGAUCUUCUUGCUAAUUCUGCGAGUUCUGUAAACAGUGUAAGCGGCAUUCAUCCUUUUAAAAAGCCAAUACGUGUUUGAUCUCUUCUUUCUUCUGUCAACUUUUAUUUUUUAAUGGCCUACCUUUUCAGCAAGGGCUUGCUUGGCUCAAAAUUCCGUUCCCCAAGAAAGUCUGGUUCCGGGAAGGCUGAGGUUUCCCCAGUGAGACCUUGCCCUGUCACCCUCACGUAGAAUUAAUGACCCUCAAAACGUAAACGGCAGUGUUUACUAAUGGAUUUUAAAACUUUAAUGGCAAUGCUAUUCCUGUCUUGAAAGAAGGAAGAAAACCCUCCUUGGUAAAUCGUCGUUGCUUCAAUAAGGCCCCUUUUUAAGCUAAAAACUUUUCCCGUCACCAUGUUAGGCACCGGUGCUUAGCACAUUAUCUUCAGUUUCACCAGUGGCUUCAAAUAUUUGUGUUUUCACCUUUUUGCCAUGUCUGAGAAGUAGGCCUAAGAUCUGCAGAGGGUGAAAGAGCUCGGCCAGGGUGAGGGCAGGAUUUGAAGCAUUCCUCUCCAGCCAACCCCGGGCCUUGGCUUGUCUGAGAGGCCUAGUCCAUCCUUAAGUCUUCCAUUUCAUUUUCUUCUGCAGCUUGCUUUUAAGUUCAGUCUCUAAUUAUAUUUUGAUGUGUUUUGUUAAAUUCACAGCAACCCCCUUGUAGGAGCUAUUCAUUUUGAAGCCGCCCUUGUAUCAGAAACACGUUUACAAUGACGUUCAGUAGCCUACUUUAUUAGAGGGAUCCACCUACCCAUAAUAUCUUCAAGUGUCUGGAUGGUUACUAUUAUAAUUUUCUUAAAGAAUAGCCCUGAAGGAAAAGACAGAUAUAAAAGUGACUGCAUUCCCCCCCUCAAUAAAUACACCCUCCUUACCUAAAGUUCAAAGAAUAAGUUUGCUAAUAAAAGCAGUGACCUAGCAAAAUGUAUUAUUCCAUCAUUGCUAUGGAAACCAGAGUAUUCAACAGCUCCUUUGAAUGGGUUGUUGGAUUAGUGUGAGGACUUGCCUCUCCCUAGGCUGGAGGUUACUAUGGAAAUUGAGUUUUGAUAAAUGAAGUAGUUAUCUCUAACCACUGCAUUAAAAAGUAAAAGCUUUUGGACAAAGGUCAGUGGCGAAGCAGAGCUCUGUGAGAGUAUGGUUUCAGACAUUGUGUAUGCGUGUUAGGAGGGAGCAGUGCUUGGUUAUCUGAAUGCCUAACACUUCCUAAAACCCGGGUGGUAGCUGUGAGCUUUCCAAGAAUGGCUUUUGAAAGAAAAGGCAUCUCUCAGUUUAUCUGUGAUAGGAGUGAAAUUAUUUGGGCCUGAGGUUGGGUUGGGUUUUUUGUGGGCAGGUAAGCAUGAACAGAAUAAAUCCAAAGAUGAUUCAAACUCCAGUCUAAAACCUCCCAAAUAGAGUUGACAGGUGCCAGAAGAGUCCAUAUAGAAACACUAAAGCAACCUACUAAAAUGUCCUUUUGUAGACUAGUGUUAGGGAAACACUGAACAUGGGGUUUUGAGCUUUGGAUCAAGAGGAGAAACAGAAGUAGUUUAGGAACAUUUGAGCUGUUGUUUCUUCUCUCUCAUCAGAAGUCCUUGAAACUGGAGAUAGGAAAGAGGAAAGGUAUUUUUUGAGGUUAAAGUCCCCAUAAUAAAAGAAGUGUGCAAUUGCAUAUACCGACGUAAUCAAGUGCUUAUUGCAGGCACAUCGUCAGGCUAUAUCUAAAUAGCCUUUCCACCCUGUCAGGGUUUACUGCUCUGAAUGCUUGUACCUGGGAUCCUGGAACUUGACCUGCUGGCAGAGAAAUUUAAUAGUGGGUCGUCUGAACAAUGCCCACACUAAU